UUCGUAGGCGGUGUGGCAAGUCGGGAGUGAAAUCUCUAGGCUCAACCUAGAGGCUGCUUCCGAAACUGCUGUGCUUGAGUGUGAGAGAGGCUCGUGGAAUUGUAGGUGUAGCGGUGAAAUGCGUAGAUAUCUGCAGGAACACCCGUGGCGAAAGCGGCGAGCUGGAUCACAACUGACGCUGAGGAACGAAAGCUAGGGGAGCAAACAGGAUUAGAUACCCUGGUAGUCCUAGCCCUAAACGAUCAGGACUUGGGGUGCCGCCCGUUCGGGCGUCGUCCCGGAGCUAACGCGUUAAGUCCUGCACCUGGGGAGUACGGUCGCAAGACUGAA
rnacentral:rRNA from 1 species